AACCCAUGGUGUGGGCAUUGGUUGGUGUAGCUCCUGAAUCUCUCAUAUGCUUCACCAAAACUCUCAUUGCUGUGCUAAGUGAAGUUAGAGAUUUGGUUUCUUAGCUU
rnacentral:snoRNA from 1 species